rnacentral:rRNA from 1 species
CCUACGGGAGGCAGCAGUGAGGAAUAUUGGUCAAUGGCCGGAAGUCUGAACCAGCCAAGCCGCGUGUAGGACGAAGGUGCCAAGCAUUGUAAACUUCUUUUGUCAAGGGACAAAAUCAGGCUCGCGAGCCUGCCCGCGGGUACUUUCAGAAUAAGCAUCGGCUAACUCCGUACCAGCAGCCGCGCUAAUACGGGGGAUGCGAGGGUUAUCCGGAUUGAUUGGGGUAAAGGGGGGGGUAGGGGGGCUGCUAAGUCAGCGGUAAAAGCCUGGGGCUCAAACCCGACCUGCAGUUGAAACUGGGUGUCUUGAGUGGAGGAGAGGUAAGCGGAAUUCGUAGUGUAGCGGUGAAAUGCGUAGAUAUUGCGCAGAACUCCGAUUGCGAAGGCAGCAUACUGGA